GCCCUUGAGGCAGAAAUAAACGAGGGAGAGAAGGUGUCCCCGCCAGCGAAGGAGCUACUAACUUGUACAGAAACAGGCACUCAACGCGAGGGCACUGGAAGGGAAAUAACGCCGGCGGUUGAAGUCCCUUCUGCAGGUGAUGGGGAGACGCAAACUUGUAUAGACACUCUGCGGGAGGAC